rnacentral:rRNA from 1 species
GAUCAUGGCUCAGAUUGAACGCUGGCGGCAUGCUUUACACAUGCAAGUCGAACGGCAGCAUGGAGAGCUUGCUCUCUGAUGGCGAGUGGCGAACGGGUGAGUAAUACAUCGGAACGUGUCCUGUUGUGGGGGGAUAACUACUCGAAAGAGUAGCUAAUACCGCAUAAGACCUAAGGGUGAAAGCGGGGGGACCUUCGGGCCUCGCGCAGUUGGAGCGGCCGAUG